GACGGAGGAUGCAAGUGUUAUCCGGAAUCACUGGGCGUAAAGCGUCUGUAGGUUGUUUAAAAAGUCUGCAGUUAAAGGUUGAAGCUUAACUUCAAAAAUGCCGUAGAAACUUUUAAACUAGAGGAUGGUAGGGGCAGAGGGAAUUUCCGGUGGAGCGGUGAAAUGCGUAGAGAUCGGAAAGAACACCAACGGCGAAAGCACUCUGCUGGGCCGACACUGACACUGAGAGACGAAAGCUAGGGGAGCGAAUGGG
rnacentral:rRNA from 1 species